rnacentral:rRNA from 1 species
UUGACCUCAAAUCAGGUAGGACUACCCGCUGAACUUAAGCAUAUCAAUAAGCGGAGGAAAAGAAACUAACAAGGAUUCCCCUAGUAACUGCGAGUGAAGCGGGAAGAGCUCAAAUUUUGAAUCUGGCGGUCUUUCGSCCGUCCGAGUUGUAAUCUAGAGAAGUGUUUUCCGCGCUGG